AUAACGUUGAAGAGAGAUGAUAGUGGCUCAGCCCAGAGUAUUAACAAUAGAGGUAGUGAGAUAUGGUUGGAUUCUGGAUGUAUUUGGAAGAUAGAGCCAACAGACAUAAUAGAUAUGGGUGCUAAAGACGGACAUUAAAAAGCACUCCACUAUUUUGUUUUGUUUUAUAGGAAGGAUGAGUUGCCAUGAGUUGAAUUGGGGAAAGUGGCACGGGAUUAGGAGUUCAGUUUUAGACACGAUGAGGUGGAAAUGUUUAGCUGGAAAUAGAAAUGUAGGAGUCAUUGGCCUAUAAUGAUAUUUAAAGUUCUGAGACAGGAUGAAAUCAGCAGGGUGUAAAAGCAGAUA
rnacentral:lncRNA from 10 species